AAACAGAACGGGGUUCUGCCUUCGGGUAGCUCCAGCCGGCUGGCCAGAGAUCGAAAUUCGUAUUGAUUGAAAUUGUUUAAUUAAUAAAAUAAAAUAAAUAAAAAAUUCAAAUAUUCAAAUCCCGAUGUUGGGUACGGAGACACCUCCACCGUCUGUCAAAUCCCCGGUUGACCUUGGGGUCUGGUACGGCGUUUUCUUUUCCCCAACUGGAAACGUGCGGUGGAUGUGGCAAGUGCUACUAGUUCGCUGUAAUGAUAAAGAGUUAUUACCCCAUAAGCCCGGAUGCUUAUCAAGGCUCGAGGAGGUGCUCUUCAGCAAAGAAAUAACCCGACCUGAGUUGACUUGAACAGGAAGUAAUAGCUCUCGAAUAAGGUCGGCAAGGAUUUACCUGGCGACGGCCCUUACAGAGGAACUUCCACCCGGUUCCAACAACCUCUACUCAAAGUCGGUGGAAUCAGACGGCAACCACGGAAGGGAAGCUCUUUGGAUUCCAGUCCGGUCGACCGACCGAAGGCAAGAAUACAAAGAACUAGUUCUGUGUCCGGUUUUAUAAGCCCGCAGGGAUUUACCCUACCAGGAUUAUCUUCCCGGGAACAGGUGAGUAAAACGGCAAAACUAAAAGUAAUUAUCAAAUUAAUAGGUCUAGGAAAAUAAUGAAACUAAAACGAAAAGCUCUGGUGGAAUUAAAACGGAAAAUAAAAUAAACUUAAAACGGAUCUCAGGUUUUCGAAACGGGCAGGAAUCGGGUCUGGUUCUGGUUCGGGGAAUGAUUUUAACAUGGAACGGAAUUAAUCGGAAGUGCUCUCUGGUACUUUACAAACACCUUUUAUAGGACACACAACAAGGUGGGAGAUGUAGAAGGGAUUGCAAAUAAAGGAUGGGGACGACAACAGGCGACAUCUAACGAGGGGAUUUUACAAAACAUAGUACAGGAUGUUUCACAAAUAAAAUUCCAACGUUAUCAA